rnacentral:rRNA from 1 species
UACGUAGGGGGCUAGCGUUGUCCGGAAUCAUUGGGCGUAAAGCGCGUGUAGGCGGCCCGGUAAGUCCGCUGUGAAAGUCGGGGGCUCAACCCUCGAAAGCCGGUGGAUACUGUCGGGCUCGAGUACGGGAGAGGCGAGUGGAAUUCCUGGUGUAGCGGUGAAAUGCGCAGAUAUCGAGAAGAACACCGGUGGCGAAGGCGGCCAUCUGGACGGUGACUGACGCUGAGACGCGAAAGCGUGGGGAGCAAACAGG